GUGUGUGUCCGUGUGUGCGUGUGUGCGCGUGUGCGUGUGCGUGUCUGUGCGCUCCCGCCGCCGUCGCCGAGCGCCCCCCUCUCCGCCCUCGCGCUCGCGCUCCCUCGCGCCGGCGCCGGCUCCCCAGCCCAAGCCGGGCAGGGCCGGGCUUUAUUAAUAUGCUAAUUGUCCUGCUAGUGGGAGGGGAGAGCCGUGUCAAAGUGACCCGGGAGAGCGCGCAGCAAGCGACGACGUGCGUGCGCCGCGCGGCGGGCGGGCGGCGAGGGGCUGGGAGCGCUCGGGGAACGGCAUGCAUGUGACGCAGCUUUUAAAAAAGGAGACGGAGGCAGAGACCCCAGAGAGGGAGGGCGAAGGGGAGGGCUUGGAGGCGCAGCCGCGCGCUCGGUGUCCGUCCUCCGGGUGCCGCCGGAUGGGGAGUCUGGCUGAGCCGGAGCGGGAGCCGCGGCUGGGGGAGGCGGAGCCGGGGUGGGCAGUGUGGUGUAUCUCUCUCCACCCCGGGCCGCGCUCCGGGAGGGAAAAGGGACUGCAGACCCCCUGUCCGUGCUCCCUGCUGAGACGCCAGCCUUCUUCUGGAGGCCCCUUGUUUCGCGUCCCUACCCUAGGCUGGAUGGCUGCUGUCCUUUGAGGGCUUCGGAGAUGAGAACAGGAAACAGGCCCCUCCAGUGCCCCCUAACCCAGAGAGGCAGAGGCUGUGGGCCGUGGGGGGUUGGAUGGGAGAUGAUGUGGAUGGUCAAUGUUUUUGCUGAGGGAGCAUGAAAUGAUGGAACGGUGCAGAGUCCAGGGAUUGAAAAGAAGGCCUGCCUAGGAAUGGAGACCCUCCCCACCAUGUGCUUAGGAUGGGGGAUAGGGGAGCUUGUACACUGUGGAGUCUCCCACCCCCAGGUUUCCCCAUCUCCACCCCCACCAGGAGCAGAGAGGACCUGACUGAAGCCAUCCACACUCACACAAGUAUUUCCUUGGCAGCAUCCCCUGCCUGAGUGCACCCCCUCCCUGCAUUCUCCCAGACAAAGGUCAGCACUAGAGGGAGUAGAGAGAACAUAAGGCAACAGAACACUGGCCCGAAAUUGUGGAUACCUAGGUUUGAACGCAAGAUUCGCUCCUCAAUACCUGAGUGAUUUGAGACAACUGACCACCCCACCUGGGACACUAGCUUUAUCCUCUGUAACCUAUGGCUUGGUGAGUAUCAAACUAGACAAUGUACACCCAGUCACGUAGCCCAGUGUCAGCCAGGCAGUCCUGUAAAUACGUGUUCUUUCUGCCCUUUUUUUUUUUUUUUUUUUAAGAUUAUCCAAUUCCAAGAGAGGAGGGGGCUGGAUUGGCAGGACAAUUUGAGAUGGUUUGGAGGAGGGGGAAUACCUACCUUGACCUCCUUCUCUCUUUUCUGUCCAUGAAUUUGCCUUCCUCCAAUCCUGUGACCACUUACGCCUAAGGCCACUCAUUCCAAACAACUAGCUUGGUCAGAUUCCAUGCUGACCAACACAAUGGUGAUCAUCUGGGUGGACAGGGGGACUACAACCCACCCUAUAAAGGUCUUUGCCUCCUGUGAAUCUGAGAUUUCCCUCUCCUAGAUUACACAUGUGGAAGGUAGAAGCUUAGGAAGGAAGAAAAAACUGCCUUACUUGAGCAUGCACUAAUGCCAGGCACUGCCCUAGGCCUUUUACACUUGCCGACUCAUUUACCUUUCAUGAGGACCUUUGGAAGAAGGUGCUAUUACCUCCAUUGAACAAGUAGGAAAACUGAAGUUCAGAGAUGAUAAUAAAUUUGAACUUGCCUGUAAAACACUGUUCUCCCUCUUCUUCACCUACUAGUUAAUGCUUCCUUAACACCUUAGUUCUAGCUUCACCUUCUCUGGGAAGAUUACCCUUCCCACUCCCACUGACACUAUAGCCCAGUUACCGGUAAGGAAAUACCAUCUCAGUACUGUUGAAUGGGUGGUUAAAAUAAGUGAUUGGGGCUCCUACAGGAACUCCAUUUAGGCAAGUUAGUUAACUUUGCCAAGGUAACAGAGCUAACAAGCACUUGACCCAUUGCUCCACUCCUUGCCUUACUUCUAGUGUGGAUCA
rnacentral:lncRNA from 10 species